CCUACGGGAGGCAGCAGUGAGGAAUAUUGCACAAUGGGGGAAACCCUGAUGCAGCGACGCCGCGUGGGUGACGAAGUAUUUCGGUAUGUAAAGCCCUAUCAGCAGGGAAGAAGAUGACAGUACCUGACCAAGAAGCCCCGGCUAACUACGUGCCAGCAGCCGCGGUAAUACGUAGGGGGCAAGCGUUAUCCGGAUUUACUGGGUGUAAAGGGAGCGUAGGUGGCAUGGCAAGCCAGAAGUGAAAACCCGGGGCUUAACCCCGCGGAUUGCUUUUGGAACUGUCAGGCUGGAGUGCAGGAGGGGCAGGCGGAAUUCCUGGUGUAGCGGUGAAAUGCGUAGAUAUCAGGAGGAACACCGGUGGCGAAGGCGGCCUGCUGGACUGUAACUGACACUGAGGCUCGAAAGCGUGGGGAGCAAACAGGAUUAGAUACCCUUGUAGUC
rnacentral:rRNA from 1 species